AUACGGAGGGUGCAAGCGUUAUUCGGAAUUACUGGGCGUAAAGCGCGUGCAGGCGGGUGGACAAGUCUGAUGUGAAAGCCCCGGGCUCAACCUGGGAAGUGCAUUGGAAACUGUUCAUCUUGAGUGCUGGAGAGGAAGGGGGAAUUCCCGGUGUAGAGGUGAAAUUCGUAGAGAUCGGGAGGAAUACCAGUGGCGAAGGCGCCCUUCUGGACGGCAACUGACGCUGAGACGCGAAAGCGGUGGGGAGAC
rnacentral:rRNA from 1 species